GCCCCCCUUAAUAUGGAGAUUCUAUCAAUUCCCCCCCCUAUGUUACAACAAGGCAGAUGAACGUAUCAGAAUCUUGAUGUGGUUUUUAAUUUUAUUUUUUAAAAGAAAAACAGAAAAUAAAAUUAUUAUUUUUUAUUACAAUAUUCAACCCAUUAUUUUUUUUUACCAAUCCUCCUUCAAAAAAAAAAUAUCCCAACCAAAUCAGUCUCACAUCUCUCUAUCUACCUUCUUCAAUCCCUCUUCUUCUUCCACUCUGAUUUCUUCGAAUUUGGUAAAAAAAAAAUUAUGGGUUGUUGUUACCAAAUUAUGGGUUCUUCUUCGACUUCGAAUCGCAAAAAUCAAAGCACACACAAUUUCUUAGCUUGCUUUUUUUGCCAAACUCAAUAUCUCAAUUUUGAGUUCUGUGUUUUCGGUUCAAUCGUUAUCGUUUUGAUUUCUUCAACAAAAGGUUUGAUCUCUCAUCGUUGAAGGUUUGAUUUACGGGUCAACCGUUAUCAUCGCCAGAAAAUCCUUUGUUCUUGUCUUCGUCUUCUCUUUUACACAAAACUCAGUGCCGCCAUUUUUGUUCUACUUCGUCGGAAAACAUGUACAGAGAUGUGUCAAGUUGCAGCACCUAUGAUUACGGUGAUGCUCGUUAUAACGAGGGUGGUUUUUUUGAUUUGUAUCAGUGUUACUCUGAUCUUUAAGAUUGGGGGCGAUUUGGGUUUGAUGUUCUUGUUGUUGCACUUUUUCUUGCUAACUUGUAUUUUGGUUGCAUGAAAUAUUAGAGUUUGUAUGAAAUCUUCUAGUGUGUGUUAGAUUUUUUAUGUUGAUGAAAAUGAUAAACUAUUCAAUUUCUGGUUUUGAAAAUUCUGGGUUUAGAUGAAGUUAUGAUGAUGUUGUUCUCGUUCUUGGUAGUGAUAACGAUGAUAAAUAGUUUGUCUUUUAAUAUAUGUUUUUUAAUUUUUUUUAAAAAUAAAUAUGUAAGGG
rnacentral:lncRNA from 1 species